CUUCAGGGGAAGGAUCUAAUGGCUGUGACCUGCGUGGGCUGCAGGAAAGAAAUCUCUAAUGCACUGAUGAAUGGAGGAAGGGCAUCACCAAGCCGGUCGGUAUAGGAAGGGGACCCAUUCUGUUUCAGCAUAAAGCACACUUUCUGAAGAGGUUCCUGGUGGACAUCUGUCAUGCACAGGAGGAAAUCUACGAUGACGAUCAGGCGGAACUAGAAGACUCAGACAUCUGCUUAACCUGCUCUCCUUAGGAAGGCCUCUCCAGUGGGUUAGGACUAUAC
rnacentral:lncRNA from 10 species